CAAGUAUUCGCUGGGUUACGCAUUGGAGGACAUCGAAAGGUGUUCAAUAAAUCAGCAUUUAAGGCGUAAGGGGGAAUUGUCCAACGCGUUGAUGAACUCUUAUUUCCAGUGCUGGAAAAGAUGAGGCAGUGAAGACGACAGAGUUCAUUGCUGAUAUGUAGGAAUUGUGCCCAAUCGGGCUCACAAAAUUAUAAAAUAAUCAGUAAAAGACAGGAUACAACUCCGGUUGAUCCUGCCGGCGACUACUGCUAUCAGGUUCCGACUAAGCCAUGCGAGUCAAAGGGUCGUAAGACACUGGCGUACUGCUCAGUAACACGCGGACAAUCUAAACCCCCAGGCCGGGGUAUAACCUCGGGAAACUGAGGGUAAUUCCCCAUAGUUAUCAUAUGCUGG
rnacentral:rRNA from 1 species